rnacentral:rRNA from 1 species
UACGAAGGGUGCAAACGUUGCUCGGAAUCAUUGGGCGUAAAGCGCACGUAGGCGGCCUCGCAAGUCGGAUGUGAAAUCCCUCGGCUCAACCGAGGACGUGCAUCCGAAACUGCGGGGCUUGAGUACUGAAGAGGAUCGCGGAAUUCCCGGUGUAGAGGUGAAAUUCGUAGAUAUCGGGAGGAACACCGGUGGCGAAGGCGGCGAGCUGGGCAGAUACUGACGCUGAGGUGCGAAAGCGUGGGGAGCGAACAGG